AGAUUGAACGCUGGCGGCAUGCCUUACACAUGCAAGUCGAACGGCAGCACGGGAGCAAUCCUGGUGGCGAGUGGCGAACGGGUGAGUAAUACAUCGGAACGUGCCCAAUCGUGGGGGAUAACGCAGCGAAAGCUGUGCUAAUACCGCAUAAGAUCUACGGAUGAAAGCAGGGGAUCGCAAGACCUUGCGCGAAUGGAGCGGCCGAUGGCAGAUUAGGUAGUUGGUGAGGUAAAGGCUCACCAAGCCUUCGAUCUGUAGCUGGUCUGAGAGGCGACCAGCCACACUGGGACUGAGACACCGGCCAGACCUCCGUAGGGACGCAGCGUAGGUGGGGAAUUUUGGACAAGUGGGCGAAGCCUGAUCC
rnacentral:rRNA from 1 species